UGGAUGGUCUGGAUGCAGACCGCAGCAAGGAGGCGGAUCCUAUAGGGGCGGAUCCUAACUUUUUUUAUCCAAUAGAAUAAUGACACUCAGCAGAAAUACAUACUGUAGGUGGCAGUAAUGCAACUUAAGGGAUUCCAGCUGCUUUUAUAAAUCCUCGCAGAAGAAGUAAUUCGUUCUUUCAAGAUGGCCGAACAACAAGUUGAAACAGCGAUUCACCCAACUGUUUACAAGGGGAUGCCCUUAUAACACCCCUUUGUGAAGGCACUAAUAAAUACAAGUGCAAAUUCUGCAGCAAGGUGGGGGACUAUGGCCAUAUUGCGGCACAUCUGCAGACCCAUAGGAGAACGGCUGUUAAACAUGGAGGAUUCACAAUGUACAGGUGCAAUGGGGUGUGUUGCAAAUCUCCACAUUUCCACUGCUGCUACUGUGGGGAGUUCAGAACCCAGCCCACUAUUAUGAAUCAUGUUCAGAAGUGCGCAGUGGCAGCCUGCAGCGUUGGAUCGCUUCGCCAGACCGCCACUGUCUCCUCCUCAGCCUCCACAGUGGCCUCCUCAGCCUACCCUGUCACCUCUGCAGCCUCGCAAAUUGCCACAGCAUCUGUAGCCUCCACUCCACUCCAAGCCAUCAGUCGCAGCAAAGUAGUCCAGUCAAGGGCCAAAAGGACAACAUGCCCUUUGUGUAAAACUGAAUUAUAUAUGAAAAACCUCAAGACCCACAUGGAUCGACGUCACUCAUCAUCUGUUCCUGAUAUUACUUCUAAUCACCAUCUUCCAUCCCAAUGCUUAGACCUCAAAAAUGGCAUUUUUGCUGUUGGAAGAACAUUUUCUGGGCUGAGAAACCCCAUUCAUGUACAGAAGUUCACCUGGGGAAACAGCCACCAAGUUGUUUGUGAGCUUGAAAAUUGCAAGCAGGCAUCAGCAUUUUCCAGAAGAAGUAACUUAUUAGGGUUUGAGUGUAUUCAUGUUAGGUCUCUGAUAUACUGUCCUACUUCAUCCAAACCAGACGUCACACUGAAGGAGGAAGUUCUAUCAGAUAUGGUUGGGAAGAAAUGGAUUUCUGACAACACAAAAAUAAUGUGUCUAGUCAGAAAGGAGAAAGCUGAGUCUGAAAACAGCCCACUGAGUAAAGUGGUGACAUUUUGCAGUGGCGCAUCAAGAGUUUGUGUCAGUACUUGAAACAUGCACCUCAUAUUAUUCGCGGUUAGGGAGAGUGUCUGUAUGUUAUGACAUAAAAAGAAAUGCUUGGCAGCAGGGCCGGCCCUGACCAAUUU